AGACUAAGGAACAAGCAAUCAAGAGAAGACAGCAAGUAAAGGAGAUCUUAGCAAAGGGUGAUUUACAUUUAAGGAAGUGGACUUCCAACAUCCCGGAAGUAGUAUCUAAGCUCGGACAGGAAACGAAACCUGAAGUUGACAUCGUGACCAACCUUGUCGAACAUGAACCAGAAAAGAAAAUUCUCGGUGUAAAAUGGAACACUGAAACUGACGAACUUACAUUUGCAGUUGCACCGGUUGAAGAUGUAAGAUACACCCGAAGAGGCCUCCUGAGCAAGCUGGCCGGCGUGUUCGACCCCCUUGGGUUAGCUUCGCCAUUCAUUAUCAAAGCAAAGAUCCUAACACAACAAUUAUGCCUACUAGGUCUCGAUUGGGAUGACCCCAUUCCUAAUUCCCACCUGAUAAAGUGGAAAGCUUGGUUAAGAAGGCUGCCAGAGUUAGAGCAAGUAAGUGUACCACGAUGUAUACAACCUAAGAAGAAAAACGUGAUCGAGUCAGAGAUCCAUACGUUCUGUGAUGCCUCGGAGGAAGCUUUCGCGGCCGUGGUCUAUUUGAGAAGCAUUUAUGACGACGGCGACGUACGGUGCUCCUUCCUGAUGGCCAAGACGAAAGUAGCUCCGCAGAAAGCUUUAAGUGUAGCAAGGCUUGAACUGCAAGCUGCCCUUCUAGGUGCUCGCCUAGCGAAUUAUGUUAAAGAAGCUAUGACACGACACAUUGACCGCGUGUUCUUUUGGACGGACAGUAAAUGUGUUAUUGGUUGGAUACGA